GACGAACGCUGGCGGCGUGCUUAACACAUGCAAGUCGAGCGGUAAGGCCCUUCGGGUACGACGAGCGGCGAACGGGUGAGUAACACGUGGGUGACCUGCCUCUAGCUCUGGGAUAAGCCUGGGAAACUGGGUCGUAAUACCGGAUAUGACUCCACGGCGCAUGUUUGUGGGGUGGAAAGCCUUGUGUGGCUAGAGAUGGGCCCGCGGCUAUCAGCUUGUUGGUGGGGUGAUGGCCACC
rnacentral:rRNA from 1 species